rnacentral:rRNA from 1 species
ACGUAGGGGGCGAGCGUUGUCCGGAAUGACUGGGCGUAAAGGGCGCGUAGGUGGCCUUUCAAGUCUGGAGUGAAAGUCCCGCUUUCAAGGUGGGAAUGGCUUUGGAAACUGAGAGGCUUGAGUGUGGGAGAGGAUAGCGGAAUUCCCGGUGUAGCGGUGAAAUGCGUAGAGAUCGGGAGGAACACCAGUGGCGAAGGCGGCUAUCUGGACCAAGACUGACACUGAAGCGCGAAAGCGUGGGUAGCAAACAG